CCUACGGGAGGCAGCAGUGGGGAAUAUUGCACAAUGGGGGAAACCCUGAUGCAGCGACGCCGCGUGAGCGAUGAAGGAUUUCGGUAUGUAAAGCUCUAGCAGCAGGGAAGAAAAUGACGGUACCUGACUAAGAAGCCCCGGCUAACUACGUGCCAGCAGCCGCGGUAAUACGUAGGGGGCAAGCGUUAUCCGGAUUUACUGGGUGUAAAGGGAGCGUAGACGGUCCUGCAAGCCAGAUGUGAAAGCCCGGGGCUCAACCCCGGGACUGCAUUUGGAACUGUAAGACUAGAGUGUCGGAGAGGCAGGCGGAAUUCGUGGUGUAGCGGUGAAAUGCGUAGAUAUUAGGAGGAACACUAGUGGCGAAGGCGGGCUGCUGGACGAUGACUGACGUUGAGGCUCGAAGGCGAGGGGAGCGAAAGGGAUUAGAUACCCUUGUAGUC
rnacentral:rRNA from 1 species